CUGUCCGCCUCCUGAAGCUCUUCCCUCUUCUCCAUCUCACACGUCUCCAUCACCCCUCCUCGGGACUAUUCCAGGUGCCCAGGCCAAAGCCUACCAGGGGGCCAGAGAGAAGUGGAAGACUGGAAGUUCUGGCAAGUUCUACCUGGAAGCAGGGGCCAAGAAGCACCUACCCAUGGGGGCCAGUGUCUGGCAGGUCCUUGGAGGCUGCUGUGUUCUCACGCCUCACCACCAGGCCCCAAGACUGCUGUAGAUUCUCACUGUUGGAGUUCACCUUCGGUUUUCCACUUCUCUCAACUUGUGAAGCCAGGACAGAAUAUCACCUUUCAGGAGGCGUGCUGCCUCAUUUGGCGCUGUUAAGAUAAGAGAAGCAAAAACUUAAUUGAUGGAGAGUGACAAGGUUGUGCCAUUUACUGAUACGGGGAAGACUGGAGAAGGAGAAGGGGACAGAAAUGAAAGACUCUCAACUAGACAUCACGUUUACAAUGCCUAUCAGCCAGCCAAGUGAAGAAAUUAAGUGGACAAUUGGAGACGGGAAGCUCAUGGCGGGAGGAAAGGAGAGAUUGGGGCUGGAGAUGUAAAAUUUGGAGUUAUCAGGGUGUUGGUAUAUGAAACCAAGAGACUUCAUGAGACCACCUAAUCUCAGUAGAGAAGAGAA
rnacentral:lncRNA from 1 species